rnacentral:rRNA from 1 species
AUGAACGUUGGCGGCGUGGAUUAGGCAUGCAAGUCGAGCGAGAACCGUAGCAAUACGGGGACAGCGGCGAAAGGGAGAGUAAUGCGUGGAUACCUACCCUCGGGUCCAGGAUAGCUGUGGGAAACUACAGGUAAUACUGGAUGACAUCUCCGGAUCAAAGGUGUGAUUCCGCCCGGGGAGGGGUCCGCGUCCUAUUAGCUAGUUGGUGAGGUAACGGCUCACCAAGGCGAAGAUGGGUAUGGGAUGUGAGAGCAUGAUCCCACUCAUUGGGACUGAGACACUGCCCAGACACCUACGGGUGGCUGCAGUCGAGAAUCUUCGGCAAUGGGGGCAACCCUGACCGAGCGACGCCGCGUGCGGGAUGAAGGCCUUCGGGUUGUAAACCGCUGUCAGUGGGGAGGAAAUGCUGGUGGGUUCUCCCAUCAGUUUGACCUAUCCGCAGAGGAAGGACGGGCUAAGUUCGU